UGUUGUGGACAAAGCAAUUUGCCAUCCGCGAAACCACGACUUCUACAUGUGUUCACACACAGGAAUGAUUGUAAGAUUUGAUAUGGAGCUGACCUUUGUGUUAAAUUGUGGGAAGUCACCAUCCAUCCUGCCCUUGAUUGAUUGCAUCACCUGGUCUUUUUAUUGUGCUCAUAUCCAUAGACAAGCAGAAAGAAUUGGUCCACAAUCAAUCAAGGUGGGUGUGGAUUGCUUACUUUUGCAUCGUCUUUUCCUUUAAAUAAGGAACAACGCGCCCUACUCACUACCAUGUUUUGCUGGAUGAGAUUGGCUUCUCCCCUGAUGAUCUCCGUGAGCUUGCGCAUUCAUUGUCCUAUGUAUAUCAGAGGAGCACAACUGCGAUAUCAAUCGGACUCUUUUGAGUUUUAGGGCUGCAACUUGGGAUCAACCCAAAC